GCAAGGUCUGAAAGAGGAACUUUUCCUUUUACUAAAUGAGAUACAUAAAUUAUUGAGAAAUAUAAACACAAACACACAAAGUCAUGAUCUAAUAUUCAAUUAAGCUUAUGCAAAUUUGAAUAAAAUUUAUUUUCUGCUAAUUAAGAUGGGUGAUGUUGAGUUUAUUAUUUAAGUGAAUAUUUAUGCAAGGAAAUACAAUUC